AUUGAACGCUGGCGGCAUGCUUUACACAUGCAAGUCGAACGGCAGCGCGGGCUUCGGCCUGGCGGCGAGUGGCGAACGGGUGAGUAAUGCAUCGGAACGUGCCCAGUAGUGGGGGAUAGCCCGGCGAAAGCCGGAUUAAUACCGCAUACGACCUGAGGGUGAAAGCGGGGGACCGAAAGGCCUCGCGCUAUUGGAGCGGCCGAUGUCGGAUUAGCUAGUUGGUGGGGUAAAGGCUUACCAAGGCGACGAUCCGUAGCUGGUCUGAGAGGACGACCAGCCACACUGGGACUGAGACACGGCCCAGACUCCUACGGGAGGCAGCAGUGGGGAAUUUUGGACAAUGGGGGCAACCCUGAUCCAGCCAUGCCGCGUGCGGGAAGAAGGCCUUCGGGUUGUAAACCGCUUUUGUUCGGGAAGAAAUCCUCUGGGCUAAUACCCCGGGGGGAUGACGGUACCGGAAGAAUAAGCACCGGCUAACUACG
rnacentral:rRNA from 1 species